GAGUCUGUUCCUCACAUGCAGGGGUGACGAGAGCCUCUGCGAGACCGAGUAGGAUAUACUGAGGAGCCAGCUGGAAACACGGCAUGGCCGACACUUGCAGGACUUUUCCAGACAGAGUCUGCUCCACCAGAGGGUGCCAGAGGAGUUUUUUCCAUGGAGAGGUAGCAAGUCGUCACACACUCGAUCAGUGGGGCUAAGAGCAGCAGAGGUAGGAUGCUGAUCACAUUCAUGGCACCGAUGGGCAACAGGAGGUCGUUCAGAUGCAGGUUUGAGUUCAUCGUCUGUAUGUAGUAACCUGAGGGAAUCUGUAGGAAACAUGUUCUCCAUGGAAAUCAUCCUUUUUCAUGCUUUAUAAUGAAGACCCAUUAUAUCCCCAGUGACUUACCUGUGUGACGCAGGCUCUGUACAGCAGCUGAAGCCCGUAAAGAGGGAAGAGCUUGGCCAGGACUUUGACAUUCUCUACAUGCGUUUCGCUGUAACGGCCACCAUUGUUCUCCUUGGCCCGGUCCAGCCAAGAUGUUACAUCUCCACUCAGGUGGCGAUAGUGGAGGCAGCACAUCUUGAGAGAGUUCAGGAAAACUCCCAGUGUGGUCAGCAACGAUCCACCUAUGACAAACACAAAAUGGUUCAUGUAUAUUUAAGUAUUUCAAGUAAGUAUUGUCUGAAUACCAGUUUUUAUGUAUUGUAUACCUUUCUUGGGUUUGUAGGUGAGUUUGUUCCGCAUCAUGUGUAUGGCGAUUAGAGCAAGCAGCACAGAGGUGAAGGGGAUGAGGAAGGCGAGAUUUUUGGCCACAGACUGCUGGAUGUAAGCAAUGCCCAGAAACACCACGGUGGAAUUCAAGUUGACCAACCAGUAGAACCUAAACAUAAAUAAAACAAAUAUCACACACACAA